AGAAAGAAGAAGCUGAUUUGGAUGAUCAGUCCUCCAACAGGCUGUCUGUCCGUGAGAGGAGACGACUUAGAGAUCGGCGAAGAGGCACAGGCAUUAAUUUCUGGACAAAGGACGAGGAUGAAACAGAUGUCUCUGAAGAGGUCAAAGAAGCAUGGAGUCUGCUUGAUGUUUUCUAUACAGCAGUCCUCCUUUAUCCACGGAAAUGGUUUCCAAGACCCCAGGGGCUGCCUAGAGUUGAAGGUAGAACUGUAGUCUGUGUACUGUGCUUUCUCAUACAUACCCAUGGAUUUAACCUACAAGUGGGUCAAGGUAAACAAUAAUAAAAUGGAACAUAUGUAACUGUACACUG
rnacentral:lncRNA from 1 species